rnacentral:rRNA from 1 species
AUUGAACGCUUGCGGCAGGCCUAACACAUGCAAGUCGAACGAGUGGCGGACGGGUGAGUAAUGUCUGGGCAACUGCCUGAUGGAGGGGGAUAACUACUGGAAACGGUAGCUAAUACCGCAUACCAUCGGAUGUGCCCAGAUGGGAUUAGCUGGUAGGUGGGGUAAAGGCUCACCUAGGCGAAGAUCCCUAGCUGGUCUGUGCGGAUGAACAGCCACAUGGGAACUGAGACACGGUCCAGCCUCCUACGGGAGGCAGCAGUGGGGAAUAUUGCACAAUGGGCGCAAGCCUGAUGCAGCCAUGCCGCGGGGAGGAAGAAGGCCUUCGGGUUGUAAAGCACUUUCAGCGGGGAGGCGUUACCCGCAGAAGAAGCACCGGCUAACUCCGUGCCAGCAGCCGCGGUAAUUC